rnacentral:rRNA from 1 species
UACGUAGGGGGCAAGCGUUGUCCGGAAUCAUUGGGCGUAAAGAGCGUGUAGGCGGCCAGAUAAGUCCGCUGUGAAAUCUCGAGGCUCAACUUCGAGCUGUCGGUGGAAACUGUCUGGCUAGAGUCCGGAAGAGGAGAAUGGAAUUCCUGGUGUAGCGGUGAAAUGCGCAGAUAUCAGGAGGAACACCGGUGGCGAAGGCGGUUCUCUGGGCCUGUACUGACGCUGAGGAGCGAAAGCGUGGGGAGCAAACAGG